CGGUGUUUAACUGGCGUGAUGUGGGACGUCCUACCGGUGGGCUUAGCCUCGCGAGGGGCGGCCCAACUAAUAUCCCGUCGCGGUGCUCUUUACUGAGUGUCGAGUCGGGCCGGUACGUUUACUUUGAACAAAUUAGAGUGCUUAAAGCAGGCUAUCCUCGCCUGAAUACUGCGUGCAUGGAAUAAUGGAAUAGGACCUCGGUUCUAUUUUGUUGGUUUUCGGAACCCCGAGGUAAUGAUUAAUAGGGACAGAUGGGGGCAUUCGUAUUGCGACGUUAGAGGUGAAAUUCUUGGAUCGUCGCAAGACGGACAGAAGCGAAAGCAUUUGCCAAAAAUGUUUUCAUUAAUCAAGAACGAAAGUUAGAGGUUCGAAGGCGAUCAGAUACCGCCCUAGUUCUAACCAUAAACGAUGCCAGCUAGCGAUCCGCCGAAGUUCCUCCGAUGACUCGGCGGGCAGCUUCCGAGAAACCAAAGCUUUUGGGUUCCGGGGGAAGUAUGGUUGCAAAGCUGAAACUUAAAGGAAUUGACGGAAGGGCACCACCAGGAGUGGAGCCUGCGGCUUAAUUUGACUCAACACGGGAAACCUCACCAGGCCCAGACACCGGAAGGAUUGACAGAUUGAUAGCUCUUUCUUGAUUCGGUGGGUGGUGGUGCAUGGCCGUUCUUAGUUGGUGGAGCGAUUUGUCUGGUUAAUUCCGAUAACGAACGAGACUCUAGCCUGCUAAAUAGGCGUACCUUAUGGUAUCGCGAAGGCCCCCGGCUUCGGCCGGUGGGUUUUUACUACCAACGUACAAACAAAUCUUCUUAGAGGGACAGGCGG
rnacentral:rRNA from 1 species